GGUACUAAUGCCUUGAAUUGCAUGUUUCUAUUAUUAUUCUCUAUUGAGAAAGAGGAAAACUAACCUGAGCUGUAUUUUUGUAUUCAUAGAUAAGUAUCUAAAAGUUUUUAAAAUUUUUUUGAAAUGACAAUAUGACAAAAAUUUUGAAACUAACAACUGCAUAGAAGAUAGCACUUUGAUGUACUCCUGACAUAGAAGGGAAAAACACAACUGCACUCUCUCAGAAAACUUAACAUUUGUUUCUAGAAGUUAGACAGCAAUUUACUUCAUAUAUAGCAAGUGCUGCUUAUUUCAGUGCAGGGAUGUCAUUGAUAGUGUCUUUCCAUUCUGUUGUUGGGAAGAGUAUUUACAUAGCAAUGCUUCCUCUUCAGUUUCUUUUUUCCAUGCCAAAGAGUGUAAUUGAACUGCUAUUGCGAACACAGAGCAAUGUGAAUGUAUUCACCUGAGUGCUUAAACUUUUCUACCUCUCAUAGCUACUUUAACUGCUUGAACUGCCAAUACUGUCAAAACUGACCAUAGUCAAAAGAACUGAAUCCCUGUGAGAAUUUAAAUCCUGUUUUCUUAGAUAGGUAAAGGAAUUAGGAUUAAACACUUAUUAGUUUCCUGUCAGAUCCUAGUUCCUAAAAAAUGGGCAUAUGCACCCAAGAAGGGUGAAUAGCACUUUGAUGUGUCACAGAAUGAUUCUUUUUAAUUUUUUUUUUUUUUUCACCAAAACAAAAAGCCACAACUGUGAUUUGUUAGAUGUGGAAGGUUAUAUGUUACCCAAAAGGCUGCAUUUCAUAGGGGUGGCAGAAAGUGAUGAGCUACUUGUUAAAAUGCGUGUAAUUUUCCCUCCCAAACCCCUGCCACUGCAAUAACUGCGAGGCACAGAUUUAAUCUCCCCCUCUGCCUUGGGAGACACAAGCGUCCAUUUGCACAGCAAAUGCUGCUAUCAUGUUGUUAUCCUGGAUCCCCCUCAAAUCCUCCUGUGGAAGCUCUUCUACUUGGUUUGAAAUUCCUAAAUAGCAAUGUUUUACCCUGGUGUAUCUGGCGUUUAUAAAGGAGAUAAAGUACUUGGCAGUAAGAGCUGCACACUGAAAGAGUUUGAAUUAUUUGCAUAUGGUGAAAACCCAAUUUUAGAAGCUUUUGUUCCCCCUUUCCAUUUGACUAUGUUGUAAGGUGAGGGUUGAGAGAACCUGCCAGGAGGUGGGAAUGAAGAUUCUUUGUUGCUGUGAUCUCAGGUGAUUUCUCGCACAGGUGGGUGAACAGUCCUGUGACAAAAUUACUCUCUAUCUACUCCUCAUUUUCCCUUCUUUUCCACCAAGAUUUGGACAAGUUUGGCUCCAGUUUGUAUGCAGGUCUGAAGAGUAUUUAUGAAUGUCAGAAAAAUUGCAGCUCCUAUGUAAAAAAAAUAUGAACAAGUGUUGCAGAUUUUCCCUGUUCUCAGUUGGGGUAUGACGUCAAACCCUUCCUUUUACAUAAGACAGGCCUGAUUCAGAUGACAUGCUGCUCUAGAAGGUUCCUAAGGCUGGUGCCAGCAGUCCCUCAAGGAACCUGGUGGAGUUAGAGGAGUGCUAUGUUAAAUCAUGGAUUUUAAGGCACAGAAAUAUUUGAAAAUCAUCUUAUGAUUAUCAAAUUAUGAUACCCCACAUAACACAGCCCAGAGUUUUUCACCCUCUCACUCCUGCAGCAGAGGGAAUUAUUAUUUUUCCAUGUUAACACUGUGAAGUCCAAUAGCUUGUCUCUGAGAUACAGCAUAUCUUUCUGCAACACAUGGGAUCUUGAUUGCGCCAGUUAACCCAUUCCAUUUUCUAGACUGCUGCAACAGUUUUAACCAUCAUUGUUAAAACAGUGUUCUACAUUUGACUUUAAAAGGUGCUAGCUAUCUCCUUAUUAAACCACAGUUUUCUAGAUUUGAAAGCAGUCCUUUUGCUAAAUGGUGCCUCUGUGCUGAAUAGCGUCCUUCCAGGGGAAGGACCACGACAUUGGAGUCCACAGCCAGUGCAGACUGAUGGUAUCAAAAUAAUUCUGGUAAAAUAUUCAUUUUACAUAAAAAUUACAUAAAAAAUUACUCUGAAUACAUAAAAAAUUACUCUGAAUAAAACUAUUGCUGGUUUUCAGCCCGAGUUACACAAUUGAGAAAUCAGUAUAUUGUGGUCUGAAGUACACUCCUAGGAGAUUUUUGAAGAUUUAUAAACAAGGCAAAACAACAACAACAACAAACUCCAGCAGUUCCACUGACACCUCCUUCCCCUGGAUCCCUCAAUUGCCAAAAACAUUCCUGCAGCCUUCACAGAGGGUUUUAUCACUAUCAAGCUGAUCAAGCCUUAUUUCUCACAUCUCUUCCUACUGAGGACAAGGACUGCUGAGGGGACUGGAGAGUGCCAUAAACUAGAACAGAAACAGCUAGUUAGGAGAAGUGUCAGUGCAUUUCCUAUGAGGGAUUUUGGCUUUCAGGCUGCGAUAUAAGGGACCCAGCAUGGCAGUGCCUAUUGCUUGCAGCCUGCUUAUAGGGCUUCACAAACUGCAGAGCACCUCCUUGAAGUAUGUGUUAGCCUAAACUCUGCUUCCAGAGAGAGCCACUUGUGUCAGCUGUGCAGAUUAUCUAUUGCAAAGGUGCUGGCAUUACCACCAGGUUUGAAGGGGCUGCUUUGGAAACCUCUUCUUUCCGUGUUGGCAGAUCCAGAUACCCUGCAGCUGGCCAUUUGCCCUAUGUAGCUUGUGGCUUGUGUGGGGAAGGAGACACUGUUCUCAAAUCUCACAGACUUGCCGCUUUUGAAAGUAGCUCAUUAAAAUCCAUUGUUUUAAAAGGUUUGGGAUUUUUGUGUGGUACCACCUGCAAAGAUCUGAAGCAGAUCUUUCUUGUUUAUGGCAGUGCAGCCUCUCUGAAAUGUAUGUCCUCUGAUUUAUGUAUUUGUUAGCUACUGUCUCUUCUUAUAGCCAUGUGGGAAAAGCUUUAUGAGUUGAGCUUAACUAUUGAGUUUUGUUGAUAAACAGGUCCCUGUAAGUGGUAUUUGGGGACAAAACUGAUCACUUUUUCAUAAUUUUUUUUUUUUUAACCAUUGAAAGCAGUAGGGGGGCAGAUCCUUUGCUGGUGUAUAUUGCUUUUCUUUGUAAGCCAUGCCAGAGCCACACCAGUCCACACAAGCUGAGGGUAUAGCCUGGUCUGUUUUGAAUAUUAUCUCUCUUGAUUUGUAUAGUCUUUUGCAGUGUAACGACUGCUGAUUUGGAGCUUUAAUUGCCUGAAUUUGACAAAACCAGAACUGGAGUGAGGUUUACUAUUGUUUUGAUACAGUCUCAAAAGGGAAGCUUUUUACUAGCAUUUUAAUAUAGCCUUUUGUAAACACCUGGCAAAUAAAAAUUCUGAGUCCAAUCCUUCUGCUAAUGGAGUCACUUUGGCUUUACUAGAAGCUGGACUGGGUUCAGUAUAAGUGAUACACUCUUGUGUUACUGAUAAUGAGUUAAGGUGUUUUAUAUAUGGAUGCUUUUUGCUGGGCAGUACAUUGGCUUUUUAUGAUUUGGUGAUAUAUACAAAUAAAUUACUUGAAAAGUC
ensembl:lncRNA